rnacentral:rRNA from 1 species
AUGGCGAUGCCCACUACUCUCAAAGCCUUGACCGUUUUAUCUGUGCUUGUAGUUCUUGCUGCAGAUCAAGCCAAAGGGCAGAAUCAUCGGCCUGAUUGUCCUUCUUUCUCAUGCGGCCCACUUGGAUACGUCAGAUUCCCAUUUCGUCGGGUAAGUGAUCCACCUGAGUGUGGUUAUGAAUCUUACGAGCUAGUUUGCAGCGAUGCUAAUGCUACAAUUCGCAUCGACAAUGCGACAUAUUAUGUGUCUGGAAUCAACUACAAUGAUUCUACCUUCUGGAUUGUCGAUGCUGACUUGGUUUUACACAACACCUGCCCUCUACCACGGUGGGUUCGUCCUCCUCAUCCUUCAUACUUACGCAAAGACAUGGAAAUCGAAUUGGCCCCACAUGCAGAUAGUCUGGCAUGUUUCGUUAAAUGUUCUCAGAAACUAAAGAACAGUGAUAUGUACAACAGUGUUAUGUACAACAGUGGUAUGUACAACAGUGGUAUGUACAAGCCUAUUGCUUGCCUGAACACCAAUGAAUCUUUUGUUUACAUGGUAACUUGCCAAGGCACUCCUUUGAUGAAAUACCUUGAGCCUUCUUGUCGGUACUUGGCUAUGGCUCCUUUGCGUAGUUGGGUGCUAGAGGAUGCAAGUUAUGCAGAAAUUGUGAACUCCAUGAGGGGCGGAUUUGCUGUUCGAUUUCCAUUCAGAUAUUAUGGGGGGAUGAAAGAGUGGAGCAUUAAGACAUGCCUAUUGCGUGAGAUUAGCAAAUUUCGUGGCCCAGCAGUGUCUGGAACGAGCAUCAAUGAUUGGAUUGCGAUAAUUCUUCUGAUGGGGGCAGAUUUUGCAGACUGCGUAUUUUAUGGGAUUGGACUUCCUUAUUAUGCUGGGAUAGAGCGGAAGGUCAUACUAAUUACUAUGCAGAAGCUGACAUUGACUGCCGAUCUAUGCAGGUUCGUGUUGGCACCCCUGGCUGUGUUGAUCUUUCUUGUCUACAAGUACUGGAAAACACGGAUCAGAAUUGAUGCAGUCGAGAAGUUCCUCCAAAUGCAACAAAUGCUUGGCCCAACAAGGUAUGCCUACACCGACAUCACUGCAGUCACAAACCAUUUCAGACAUAAGCUGGGUCAGGGAGGCUACGGCUCCGUGUUUAAGGGUGUGCUAUUGCCAGGCAAUGUUCAUGUCGCGGUCAAAAUGCUAGACGGUAACUCCAACUGUAAUGGAGAAGAUUUUAUCAGCGAAGUUUCAACCAUUGGCAGGAUCCACCAUGUUAAUGUGGUGCGUUUAGUGGGGUUCUGCCCGGAGGAAAUGAGACAAGCGCUCGUCUACGAAUACAUGCCUCGAGGUUCUCUGGACAAGUACAUCUUCUCAGCUGAGAAGAGUUUUUCCUGGGACAAGAUUGCCGAGAUAGCUUUGGGCAUUGCCAGGGGGAUCGACUACCUGCAUCAGGGUUGUGACAUGCAGAUUCUCCACUUUGACAUCAAGCCACAUAACAUCCUUCUUGACAGCAAUUUCAUCCCAAAAGUUGCUGAUUUUGGUCUCGCCAAACUAUACCCAAGGGACAAUAGCUUUGUGCCAUCAAGAGCCCUACGGGGAACUAUUGGGUACAUAGCUCCUGAAAUGAUAUCUCGGGGCUUCGGUGUGAUAUCGAGCAAGUCUGAUGUUUAUAGUUUUGGGAUGCUGCUGUUGGAGAUGGCCGGUGGAAGAAGGAAUGCUGACCCAAAUGCGGCACAUUCAAGUCAGUCUUACUACCCGUCAUGGGUGUAUGACAAACUAGUUGAACAAGAGGUGCGUGAGAUAUCUCCCGUUGGCGACAUGCAUGAGUUGGAGAAGAAGUUGUGCAUCGUUGGACUAUGGUGCAUCCAGAUGCAGCCCCAUGGCCGACCAAUGAUGAGCGAGGUGAUAGAGAUGCUGGAAGGUGGCGUCGACACGUUGCAAAUGCCUUCCAGGCCAUUCUUCUGUGACGAAGGGCACAUCCAUACCGAGGAUACUUACCAUUUGUCGUCCGAGCUGACAGAAAUCUCCGAGGAGGAUAUGAGUGUAAAUAUUGAUGUGUGA